rnacentral:rRNA from 1 species
GAUGAACGCUAGCGACAGGCCUAACACAUGCAAGUCGAGGGGCAGCACGAGGUAGCAAUACCUGGUGGCGACCGGCGCAAGGGUGCGUAACGCGUGAGCAACAUGCCCUAUACAGGGGGAUAAUCCAGGGAAACUUGGUCUAAUAUCCCAUAGUAUUUAGAGGAGGCAUCUUCUAUAAAUUAAAGCUUCGGUGGUAUAGGAUUGGCUCGCGUGACAUUAGCUAGAUGGUGAGGUAACGGCUCACCAUGGCAAUGAUGUCUAGGGGUUCUGAGAGGAAGGCCCCCCACACUGGGAUUGAGACACGGACCAGACUCCUACGGGAGGCAGCAGUGAGGAAUAUUGGUCAAUGGGCGGAAGCCUGAACCAGCCAUGCCGCGUGCAGGAAGGAGGCCCUACGGGUUGUAAACUGCUUUUACCCGGGAAGAAACCGCCCCCUGCGGGGGCGUUGCCGGUACCGGGGAAAAGGAUCGGCUAACUCCGUG